rnacentral:ncRNA from 1 species
GCGGUACCGGUUCACGCCGCGGCGGCAUCCCCGCCCAGGCGACCCGGCGACC